GUGAGUGAAAACACCUUCGGUGUGUCAGAAUCGCGGUACCGGCCAGGAGGAAUCCGGUGUGAGUCCGGAGCGGUCCCGCCACUGUGAGCUCCGUCGGGCGUGCCUCGACCACCGAGGCGCCUUGAUGCGCAAGCCAGGUCGUCCGGGUCGGUGCUGAGUC
rnacentral:ncRNA from 2 species